rnacentral:RNase_P_RNA from 1 species
GGAGUAAGUUGAAUGGUCGCGUGCGUAAGCAUGAGGAAAGUCCGUGCUCCAUAGGGCAGGAUGCUGGAUAACGUCCAGUGGGGGCGACCCUAAGGCUAGUGCAACAGAGAUAUACCGCCAGAACUCUUACUUAGUUUAUAAUCUAAUUUAUAAACUAGGUUUGGAGUGAGAUAGCUGAUGAAAAUUAUUGAGGCUAUCUGGCAAGGGUGGAAAGGUGAGGUAAGAGCUCACCAGCAUUUAGGUGACUAAAUGGCUAUGUAAACCCCAUCCGGAGCAAGACCAAAAUAGAACGUAAAAAGAUGGUUGCCCGCCAUCGUUCAAAUGGUAGGUCGCAUGAACCUAUUGGUAACAAUAGGUCUUAGAUAGAUGACCAUUUAAACAGAACACGGCUUAUAGACUUACUCCUAUA